UGUCGUAGGUGCUGUCGUAGGUUGUCGCCGGUGCUGACUUUGGUGACUUCCAUUGUCCUAGUCGCUGGCUGUCGCC